UAGUGCCGCAGCUAACGCAUUAAGCACUCCGCCUGGGGAGUACGCCCGCAAGGUUGAAACUCAAAGGAAUUGACGGGGGCCCGCACAAGCGGUGGAGCAUGUGGUUUAAUUCGAAGCAACGCGAAGAACCUUACCAGGUCUUGACAUCCCGAUGNUAUUCCUAGAGAUAGGAAGUUUCUUCGGAACAUCGGUGACAGGUGGUGCAUGGUUGUCGUCAGCUCGUGUCGUGAGAUGUUGGGUUAAGUCCCGCAACA
rnacentral:rRNA from 1 species